UACGUAGGGGGCAAGCGUUGUCCGGAAUCAUUGGGCGUAAAGCGCGCGUAGGCGGCCCGGUAAGUCCGCUCUGAAAGUCAAAGGCUCAACCUUUGAAAGCGGGUGGAUACUGUCGGGCUAGAGUCCGGAAGAGGCGAGUGGAAUUCCUGGUGUAGCGGUGAAAUGCGCAGAUAUCAGGAGGAACACCAAUGGCGAAGGCAGCUCGCUGGGACGUGACUGACGCUGAGACGCGAAAGCGUGGGGAGCAAACAGG
rnacentral:rRNA from 1 species